rnacentral:rRNA from 1 species
UCAUCUCCGGGGGUAGAGCACUGUUUCGGCAAGGGGGUCAUCCCGACUUACCAACCCGAUGCAAACUGCGAAUACCGGAGAAUGUUAUCACGGGAGACACACGGCGGGUGCUAACGUCCGUCGUGAAGAGGGAAACAACCCAGACCGCCAGCUAAGGUCCCAAAGUCAUGGUUAAGUGGGAAACGAUGUGGGAAGGCCCAGACAGCCAGGAUGUUGGCUUAGAAGCAGCCAUCAUUUAAAGAAAGCGUAAUAGCUCACUGGUCGAGUCGGCCUGCGCGGAAGAUGUAACGGGGCUAAACCAUGCACCGAAGCUGCGGCAGCGACGCUUAUGCGUUGUUGGGUAGGGGAGCGUUCUGUAAGCCUGUGAAGGUGUGCUGUGAGGCAUGCUGGAGGUAUCAGAAGUGCGAAUGCUGACAUAAGUAACGAUAAAGCGGGUGAAAAGCCCGCUCGCCGGAAGACCAAGGGUUCCUGUCCAACGUUAAUCGGGGCAGGGUGAGUCGACCCCUAAGGCGAGGCCGAAAGGCGUAGUCGAUGGGAAACAGGUUAAUAUUCCUGUACUUGGUGUUACUGCGAAGGGGGGACGGAGAAGGCUAUGUUGGCCGGGCGACGGUUGUCCCGGUUUAAGCGUGUAGGCUGGUUUUCCAGGCAAAUCCGGAAAAUCAAGGCUGAGGCGUGAUGACGAGGCACUACGGUGCUGAAGCAACAAAUGCCCUGCUUCCAGGAAAAGCCUCUAAGCAUCAGGUAACAUCAAAUCGUACCCCAAACCGACACAGGUGGUCAGGUAGAGAAUACCAAGGCGCUUGAGAGAACUCGGGUGAAGGAACUAGGCAAAAUGGUGCCGUAACUUCGGGAGAAGGCACGCUGAUAUGUAGGUGAAGUCCCUCGCGGAUGGAGCUGAAAUCAGUCGAAGAUACCAGCUGGCUGCAACUGUUUAUUAAAAACACAGCACUGUGCAAACACGAAAGUGGACGUAUACGGUGUGACGCCUGCCCGGUGCCGGAAGGUUAAUUGAUGGGGUCAGCGCAAGCGAAGCUCUUGAUCGAAGCCCCGGUAAACGGCGGCCGUAACUAUAACGGUCCUAAGGUAGCGAAAUUCCUUGUCGGGUAAGUUCCGACCUGCACGAAUGGCGUAAUGAUGGCCAGGCUGUCUCCACCCGAGACUCAGUGAAAUUGAACUCGCUGUGAAGAUGCAGUGUACCCGCGGCAAGACGGAAAGACCCCGUGAACCUUUACUAUAGCUUGACACUGAACAUUGAGCCUUGAUGUGUAGGAUAGGUGGGAGGCUUAGAAGUGUGGACGCCAGUCUGCAUGGAGCCGACCUUGAAAUACCACCCUUUAAUGUUUGAUGUUCUAACGUUGACCCGUAAUCCGGGUUGCGGACAGUGUCUGGUGGGUAGUUUGACUGGGGCGGUCUCCUCCUAAAGAGUAACGGAGGAGCACGAAGGUUGGCUAAUCCUGGUCGGACAUCAGGAGGUUAGUGCAAUGGCAUAAGCCAGCUUGACUGCGAGCGUGACGGCGCGAGCAGGUGCGAAAGCAGGUCAUAGUGAUCCGGUGGUUCUGAAUGGAAGGGCCAUCGCUCAACGGAUAAAAGGUACUCCGGGGAUAACAGGCUGAUACCGCCCAAGAGUUCAUAUCGACGGCGGUGUUUGGCACCUCGAUGUCGGCUCAUCACAUCCUGGGGCUGAAGUAGGUCCCAAGGGUAUGGCUGUUCGCCAUUUAAAGUGGUACGCGAGCUGGGUUUAGAACGUCGUGAGACAGUUCGGUCCCUAUCUGCCGUGGGCGCUGGAGAACUGAGGGGGGCUGCUCCUAGUACGAGAGGACCGGAGUGGACGCAUCACUGGUGUUCGGGUUGUCAUGCCAAUGGCACUGCCCGGUAGCUAAAUGCGGAAGAGAUAAGUGCUGAAAGCAUCUAAGCACGAAACUUGCCCCGAGAUGAGUUCUCCCUGACUCCUUGAGAGUCCUGAAGGAACGUUGAAGACGACGACGUUGAUAGGCCGGGUGUGUAAGCGCAGCGAUGCGUUGAGCUAACCGGUACUAAUGAACCGUGAGG